UCAACAUUAAUAUUAGCAACAACAUACUGUUGUUGGAGGACGUUCAGGAGGACGUUCCCGAGCAGGCCGCUGCCGUCCAGGAGGACGUUCCCGAGCAGGCCGCUGCCGUCCAGGAGGACAUUCCCGAGCAGUCCGCUGCCGUUCCCGAUGCGGUGCCCGAUGCUGUUCCGGAGGCCGAGGCGGUGCCCGAUGCUGUUCCGGAGGCCGAGGCGGUGCCCGAGGCUGAGGCGGUGCCCGAGGCCGAGGCGGUGCCCGAUGCCGAGGCGGUGCCCGAUGCUGUUCCGUAGGCCGAGGCGGUUCCCGAUGCGGUGCCCGAGGCAGUUCCCGAGGCCGAGGCGGUUCCCGAUGCGGUUCCCGAGGCCGAGGCGGUUCCUGAGGCCGAGGUCGUUCCCGAGGCGGUUCCUGAUGCGGUGUCCGAGGCGGUUCCCGAGGCCAAAGCCGUUCCCGAUGCAGUGCCCGAGGAGAUGCCCGAGGCCGUUCCCGAUGCGGUGCCCGACGCGGUGGUCGAGGCAGUUCCUGAGGCCAAGACGAUUCCCGAGGCCGAGGUGGUUCCCGAGGCGGUUCCGCUCUGGCCGCUCAAGUGGCGGGUUCCUCCCUGGCCAUCGCCACAGCCUGCUCCCCGAAUGGCAGGUUCCGUUCUGGCCACUCAAAUGGCGAGUUCCUCCCUGGCCGUCUGCACAACUAGAAUGGACUGAUCCUCCGUGGCCACCUGAACUGCCUGGUCCCUCGUGGUCCCCUGAACUUUCGGGUCCACCCUGGCCCCCUGAACUGAUUGAUCCACCUUGGCUGCCAGUGGAGCCAUCGCUGCCUGUCCCUGUUCUCCUACACGGGCCUGGCCCUCCAUCCCUCCCCCUGUUCUACCUCCACCAGUCCACCUCCCUCCUGGUCUUUUUGGUUUGUUUUUUGUGUCUGUGGAGCAUCUGGAAGCUGCUCCUUAGAGGGGGGGGGCUGUUUUAGUGUCUUUCUCCUUAUGCAGUGUCUUUCAGUCUGUCACGCAGUGAUGAGG
ensembl:lncRNA